GACGUAGGGGGCCAGCGUUGUUCGGAAUUACUGGGCGUAAAGGGCUCGUAGGCGGCCAACUAAGUCGGAUGUGAAAUCCCCCGGCUCAACCGGGGAACGGCUGGGUAUACUGGCGGUCUUGAGCCAUCCAGGGGCAGUCGGAACAGACGGUGGAGCGGUGAAAUGCGUAGAUAUCGUCUGGAACGCCGAAGGUGAAAACAGACUGCUGGGGAUGCGCUGACGCUGAGACACGAAAGCCAGGGGAGCGAACGGG
rnacentral:rRNA from 1 species